AUCCAUGAGAUGAUCAGACAAGAAAUUUUGGAGCAGGUCCUCAACAGGGUUGUUACCAGAGCAUCUUCUCCCAUCAGUCAUUUCUUAGACCUGCUUUCAAAUAUCGUCAUGUAUGCACCCUUAGUUCUUCAAAGUUGUUCUUCUAAAGUCACAGAAGCUUUUGACUAUUUGUCCUUUCUGCCCCUUCGGACUGUACAAAGGCUGCUUAAGGCAGUGCAGCCCCUUCUCAAAGUCAGCAUGUCAAUGAGAGACUGCUUGAUACUUGUCCUUCGGAAAGCUAUGUUUGCCAAGUAUGUAGCAUCUUUUUCUAUCAUAGGAAGACGUUGUCUUCUAAUGUUGGAGCUAAAGUUAUCUCUGCCAUCUCCUAGUACCACCUGUUCACAGUGAUCAUGAGAAUUCCUAGCCCCGCAGAGCAAUUUCAUCAAAUAAGGCAUUUUGCUAAGUGCUUUAUGUGCUUUUUUCAUUUAGUCUUCAGAGCAACCCUAUGAAGUAAGAAUUAUUGCAAUUCCCAUUUUACAGAUAAGAAAAGUUAGGCUUAGAGAAGAUGAGUGACUUUCCAAAAGUAAAACAGUAGUUGGUGGUGGAGCAAGGAUUCAAAGUCAGGUCUAACAUCAGAGCUUGUGAUGUCAAGUACUUUGCUCUACUACAUUAGAAUAAUCUUCAGGGUAAUGUUCUAGUGUCAAAUACUCUGAAACCUGAGCUGGCAGCAGUUCCAAAGGGGAAAGUACCUUAGUCAAGAAGAAUAUACUUAAGAAUCUCAUUUUAGUGAACAUCUGAAUUAUGAUCUAGAGGCUAGUAGAUCAAAUUAAUUGUUGAGGGGAAUGAGUUUUAUUUGUAGCUUAGCCAGUCCCUCCUAACAUCUCUUCCUUUAUUUCUUAGUAUAUAAGCUAGAGAUGAUCUUGCCAUCUCCUAAAAAUAUAAGACAGUAAUAUGUGAAAAGCAUUUGGUACUUUGAGGAUAAGAUGCCCAAUUAAUAUCACAUUGGCCAUAUUAUAAUAUAUUCAUGGGUGUCCAGAGGAACAACUAAGCCAUAUGCUAUUAUCUUUGUUCUAGAAUUAAAAGUGUUUGUUACUCCUCACCCAAAGGCAUAGCGAAUAGACUGAGAUAUUACGUUGUAACGUCUUUAACAUGAAUUAAUCAUUGCGCCUCAGUGAGAAGACAAGUGUGACAUUUUCUGGAUGGACAGUUUACAUGGCAUCAAAUAUUACAUUAUCCUAUGAUGAAAGAGAGCAUAUGAAGGGAAGCACUCCUUCAAACAUGGCAAAAUCAGCAAUUUCUUACAUUUGAGUAACCAGCCAAUUUUACAGUCUCUCAGCACUCUUCUUAUUCCUCACAUAGACUUGAGAGCAGGAUAGAAGGAAGUAGAGUAUCAUGAGUUAAGUAUUGAAAAAAGUCAGUUGAAUUUCUGUAUAUAAAUUGCUUUGAACAGCUGAUACCUUAUUUUGAGUACAUAAAUUCACUUUGUUUUGCUCUACGCUUCAUUGUUUAUACAUAUGCCUUCUCUGUAUGCAACUAGCUGGAUUUUUCUGACCCAGAAGCAUAUUCCUGUGAAAUAGUACUGUUUGUUAACUUCUCUAUUUCUGAGCUAGCCAGCUUGAUGCCCGAAAAUCUGCAGUUGCUGGGUUUUUGCUGCUCCUGAAGAACUUUAAAGUUUUAGGCAGCCUGUCAUCCUCUCAGUGCAGUCAGUCUCUUAGUGUCAGUCAGGUUCAUGUGGAUGUUCACAGCCAUUACAAUUCUGUCGCCAAUGAAACUUUUUGCCUUGAGAUCAUGGAUAGUUUGAGGAGAUGCUUAAGCCAGCAAGCUGAUGUUCGACUCAUGCUUUAUGAGGGGUUUUAUGAUGUUCUUCGAAGGAACUCUCAGCUGGCUAAUUCAGUCAUGCAAACUCUGCUCUCACAGUUAAAACAGUUCUAUGAGCCAAAACCUGAUCUGCUGCCUCCUCUGAAAUUAGAAGCUUGUAUUCUGACCCAAGGAGAUAAGAUCUCUCUACAAGAACCACUGGAUUAUCUGCUGUGUUGUAUUCAGCAUUGUUUGGCCUGGUAUAAGAAUACAGUCAUACCCUUACAGCAGGGCGAGGAGGAAGAGGAGGAGGAAGAGGCAUUCUACAAAGACCUAGAUGAUAUAUUGGAGUCCAUUACUAAUAGAAUGAUUAAGAGUGAGCUGGAAGACUUUGAACUGGUAAUUGCUAAGUCCUCAGCUGUAUUGAAUGAUGGAGUUCUUUAGUAGCUUAUUAAUUUUUAUCUUGUGUCUUUUAGGAUAAAUCAGCAGAUUUUUCUCAGAGCACCAGUAUUGGCAUAAAAAAUAAUAUCUGUGCUUUUCUUGUGAUGGGAGUUUGUGAGGUUUUAAUAGAAUACAAUUUCUCCAUAAGUAGUUUCAGUAAGAAUAGGUUUGAGGACAUUCUGAGCUUAUUUAUGUGUUACAAAAAACUCUCUGACAUUCUUAAUGAAAAAGCUGGUAAAGCCAAAACUAAAACGGCCAACAAGACAAAUGAUAGUCUUUUGUCCAUGAAAUUUGUGUCCAGUCUUCUCACUGCUCUUUUCAGGGAUAGUAUCCAAAGCCACCAAGAAAGCCUUUCUGUUCUCAGGUCCAGCAAUGAGUUUAUGCGCUAUGCAGUGAAUGUAGCUCUGCAGAAAGUACAGCAGCUAAAGGAAACAGGGCAUGUGAGUGGCCCUGAUGGCCAAAACCCAGACAAGAUCUUUCAGAACCUCUGUGACAUAACUCGAGUCUUGCUAUGGAGAUACACUUCAAUUCCUACUUCAGUGGAAGAGUCGGGAAAGAAAGAGAAAGGAAAGAGCAUCUCACUGCUGUGCUUGGAGGGUUUACAGAAAAUAUUCAGUGCUGUGCAACAGUUCUAUCAGCCCAAGAUUCAGCAGUUUCUCAGAGCUCUGGAUGUCACAGAUAAGGAAGGAGAAGAGAGAGAAGAUGCAGAUGUCAGUGUCACUCAGAGAACAGCAUUCCAGAUCCGGCAAUUUCAGAGGUCCUUGUUGAAUUUACUUAGCAGUCAAGAGGAAGAUUUUAAUAGCAAAGAAGCCCUCCUGCUAGUCACUGUUCUUACCAGUUUGUCCAAGUUACUGGAGCCCUCCUCGCCUCAGUUUGUGCAGAUGUUAUCCUGGACAUCAAAGAUUUGCAAGGAAAACAGCCGGGAGGAUGCCUUGUUUUGCAAGAGCUUGAUGAACUUGCUCUUCAGCCUGCAUGUUUCGUAUAAGAGUCCUGUCAUUCUGCUGCGUGACUUGUCCCAGGAUAUCCACGGGCAUCUGGGAGAUAUAGACCAGGAUGUAGAGGUGGAGAAAACAAACCACUUUGCAAUAGUGAAUUUGAGAACGGCUGCCCCCACUGUCUGUUUACUUGUUCUGAGUCAGGCCGAGAAGGUUCUAGAAGAAGUGGACUGGCUAAUCACCAAGCUUAAGGGACAAGUGAGCCAAGAAACCUUAUCAGAAGAGGCCCCUUCUCAGGCAACCCUACCAAAUCAGCCUGUUGAGAAAGCUAUCAUCAUGCAACUGGGAACUCUGCUUACAUUUUUCCACGAGCUGGUGCAGACAGCUCUGCCAUCAGGCAGCUGUGUGGACACCUUGUUAAAGGACUUGUGCAAAAUGUACACCACACUUACAGCCCUUGUCAGAUAUUAUCUCCAGGUGUGUCAGAGCUCCGGAGGAAUUCCAAAAAAUAUGGAAAAGCUGGUGAAGCUGUCUGGUUCUCAUCUGACCCCCCUGUGUUAUUCUUUCAUUUCUUAUGUACAGAAUAAGAGUAAGAGCCUGAACUAUACGGGAGAGAAAAAGGAGAAACCUGCUGCCGUUGCCACAGCCAUGGCCAGAGUUCUUCGGGAAACCAAGCCAAUCCCUAACCUCAUCUUUGCCAUAGAACAGUAUGAAAAAUUUCUCAUCCACCUUUCUAAGAAGUCCAAGGUGAACCUGAUGCAGCACAUGAAGCUCAGCACCUCACGAGACUUCAAGAUCAAAGGAAACAUCCUAGACAUGGUUCUUCGAGAGGAUGGCGAAGAUGAAAAUGAAGAGGGCACUGCAUCAGAGCAUGGGGGACAGAACAAAGAACCAGCCAAGAAGAAAAGGAAAAAAUAAAUGAAAUGCCUGAGUUAAUGUGAACUUUGGGGCUUCUGCUUCAUUUUUACCCAACGAGCAACAAUGCCCCUUGUCCUGUAGUCCACACCGACGUUGGCAUCUUGGUUCUGAACCCACUGAAUUCAACUGCACCUUCAGUUAGAAGGAAUCUUCUUGGCAGGUCCUGCUACUGAAAAAUGGCUGGCCUUAGGCAAGCCCUUUUGCAAAAAGCACAGCUGAAAGCCUGAGUUUGGGAGCCUGCACCACCCUGAUGAAGCUCCACGGGAGCAAAUACAGAGCCUCCAGGCAGUGCUAUGGUCCAGGCUGGCUUCGUUUUUCCAAGGAGCCUUUGGUGAGUUCAAUUAUCUGGUAAAUAUCCAGCGCUUCACCUGAAAGAUAGUGCCAAAUUGGUUAGGAUGCCACCUCAAGAACUGUAACUGAGAGCUCAGAAGUGAGCAAAGGAGCUUAAUGCUGAGGUCAAAAGGAGAGUGAAAGGUUGAGAACAAUUGCCACGAACGGUAAUGUUACAUGUUAGGAGGGUCUGUUUUCUUUUUAUAUAAGUGUGUCUUAGAUAUAUUUUAAAUAGAAAAUAAGCUUUCUGAUUUACUUGUUUGGUAUUUAAAGCACAGUUUGUUUUUCUGUCACCUAUAGAGUGCAAGAAUGCACUCUAUAGAAUAAAUCCUCUUUAAAC
rnacentral:sRNA from 1 species